GCCUAUAUAGCUCAGUUGGUAGAGCAAUUGAUUUGUAAUCAAUAGGUCCCGAGUUCGAAUCUUGGUAUAGGCACCA
rnacentral:tRNA from 1 species